rnacentral:lncRNA from 1 species
ACAAAGUGGUGAGGAAAGGAUGACAGAGCCGCCUGAAUGAUUCUUCUGUGGAAAGAGAAGAUACGUAGUAAUGAAUUUGCCAGAAAGAUACGUUAACGUCAUAUGUACUAUAUAUAUAUAUGGAGAUCGGAAUCGGAGAUCGGAGAUUGGAGGAGAAGAAGUGAAGAAGACAGUUACGUUAAAUGAUUUUGGGUGCGCCGAUGAGAUGGUCCAUGACGCACCUGAUCAAAUCCUCUCUUUCCACUAUAUAUAUUUUCCUCGUCAAUCUGCCUUUUUUACCUUUAGCUGUUGACAGGGGAAGCACGUGACGCCAUGCGAGUUUCCACCACAGCAUCACCACCACCACCACCACCACCACUCUUUAACAUUAAACAAAACCAACCAUCCAGCCAGCCAACCCUCUCUGUGGGAUAAUAUCAUGAAAGGGUUUCCCAGAAAAGAUAAAGAAUAAAAGCACUCUUUCUCUCUCUCUGCUCGUGGCUUUCAACGUUGUUCUCGAUGCCACCUUCUCUGUUUCCUUCUCGCUCCCGUUUCCCGUUCUGCUUCUCAAAAAAUACCACACCCAUAGCCCGUUAUAUGCAUUAUUUAAUGACACAAGUGGGAUUUGUAUGCAAUUUGUGAACAUGAGAUGAGAUAUUUCAUUCUACUUGCAAUGCAUAUGUUAGCGCAAAUGCCCGCAUCAAGAAAAAUAAGCAGUCAGUCAAUGCCAUGAAUUCAAUUCACAAGUUUGGGGACAAAUAAUAAUAAUACUACUACUAAUAAUGCAAAGCCAUAAAGUAAUACCGAGAAGAGGACGUACGUUACGCUCCUGUCCUGACCUGACACCAUCCCACUGCUUGUCCACCAUUCAACAGCUCCCUUCCCCAAACCAAACUCAACCAAUGACAUUUUUAUUUUAAAACAGAGAGAGCAUCAGAAAUUCAAGUUUGGAAACAUUCAAUCUCUCCCAGCUCCUCAAAAAAUUGCCAUUUUACUAAUCUCUCUGCCUUACACAACCUGGCACCCAGCUCCUCCUUCAGCAUUUAAAACUGCGCAUUACUAUGCAUUAACCUUGUCUUUCCUCUUACCCUCUUCUCGAUAUUCCCUUCAUCUCUCUCCCUCUUUCUCUGUAAAAUGCAGCUGAGGGUUUCAUUUUCAAGUUAAAACCGUAACAGCAGGAAAAACCAUCUGGAUG